AGCGAACGCUGGCGGCAGGCCUAAUACAUGCAAGUCGAACGGCUCUUCGGAGCAGUGGCGGACGGGUGAGUAACGCGUGGGAACGUGCCCUUUGGUUCGGAACAACACAGGGAAACUUGUGCUAAUACCGAAUGUGCCCUUCGGGGGAAAGAUUUAUCGCCAUUGGAGCGGCCCGCGUUGGAUUAGGUAGUUGGUGGGGUAAAGGCCUACCAAGCCUACGAUCCAUAGCUGGUCUGAGAGGAUGAUCAGCCACACUGGGACUGAGACACGGCCCAGACUCCUACGGGAGGCAGCAGUAGGGAAUCUUGCGCAAUGGGCGGAAGCCUGACGCAGCCAUGCCGCGUGAAUGAUGAAGGUCUUAGGAUUGUAAAAUUCUUUCACCGGGGAAGAUAAUGACGGUACUCGGAGAAGAAGCCCCGGCUAACUUCGUGCCAGCCGCCGCCGUAAGAC
rnacentral:rRNA from 1 species